UAUAUGUCAAAAUGACGUUAUUUUACUUUGAAUAAUAUAUUUACACAACGAUUUUAUAGAAAUUAUACAUAUAAUGGAUUAUUUACGUAAAAAAAUUAAAUAUACGGCUGGUAUUAGUACUAAAAAUCCUGUUUUCGAAUCGAGAGCGAUGCGUUUUCCAUAUACUUUUACAGCUAAAUUAGUACAAUUUCCUUAUUUACAUUAUUAUAAAAAUAAUUGGAUAUGUAGAUACUACGUUUUUGGUGUUUUUUUAUCAAUACCCGUAUUUAUGUAUAUUAGCAAAUUGUCUAAUUCUCCAAGUAAUAUCGCGAAAUGGGAGGAAAUUCGACGAAAAGAAAGAGAAGAAUUACUUCAUAAAUUCGAUUGACUCAACUUUAUUAUUAUUAUUAUAAAUCGUAUAUUUUUGAUAUAAAUGGAUAUUUUUAUGUGUA